GUCCACACCCUAAACGAUGAUAACUCGAUGUUGGCGAUACACAGUCAGCGUCUAAGCGAAAGCAUUAAGUUAUCCACCUGGGAAGUACGACCGCAAGGUUGAAACUCAAAGGAAUUGACGGGGGCCCGCACAAGCGGAGGAGCAUGUGGUUUAAUUCGAUGAUACGCGAGGAACCUUACCUUGGCUUGAAAGUUAGUGACCGUCCCUGAAAGGGGACUUUCCGCAAGGACACGAAACUAGGUGCUGCAUGGCUGUCGU
rnacentral:rRNA from 1 species